rnacentral:lncRNA from 10 species
GGCCUCCAGUCUCCUGGCUCGGGACGGCCUCAGCACCCGGGCACCGCGCGGCUUGCGCGCCGUCUGAACUUCGUUUGAGCCGGAAGUGGACGUCCCAGUCCCAUUAUGUCUUACAGGGAAAGCCGCCGGGAGCACAGAAGCGCUGUCACCACCGACCCGCGCAGCUCCCCGGGAAAACGGUCACCCGAGUGGCCGCGAUGGUAACAUCCCAGAGGAUCUCUUCUUCAGUUGUCCAUGGAGAAAGGACCGGAUAGCGUCAUUUUAACUCAGGGAAGAACAAUUCACAGCCUUCCCCCUCCUGUUAAAUUUGAUGGAUGUCCUGCUAACAACGAAACUUGAUAAUCUCUUCUUUUUCCAGCUUGUGCAAAGAAAUAGCAUAGCUGAUUGUGUGACUCUUCACACGUGUAGUUUAAAAAAAAAAGCAUUCUUUUUUCCUUGAUUUGAAGCAUUAGAGGCCCCAUAUAGUUAGGAAUAGCAGCGACUCUUCCGCAAGGGCUCAGCGUUGUUUUCUGUUUUGCCUGUCUGCAAAAGUUUUCGAAUCCGUUUCAGACUUAAGAAUUACUGAUUCUGUGAAUUUUGUCAAAAAAAAAGUUGGACCGAGUUUGUUAAAUUCUGAAAUUCCAUGAAUACUCGCCUCAGCCUCCCGAGUAGCUAGGGACUACAGGUGCCCGCCACCAUGCCCAGCUCAUUUGUGAUUUUUUUUUUUUCAGUGUAGGAGUUUCGCUCUGUUGCCCUGGCUCAUCUCGAACUCCUGGCUCCAAGUGAUCCUCCUGCCUCUGCCUUCCAAAGUGUUGAGAUUACAGGCAUGAGCCACCACACUUGACCUAAUUUUACAAAUUUUGACAAAUGCUACCUAGACUUUUUUUAUUUUUAAAAAGGUAAGCCAAGCGUGGCGUGUAGUCCCCAGCUACUCCGGAGGCUGAGGCGGGUGGAUCCCUGGAGACCAGGAGCUGGGGGCCGCAGUGAGCUAUAAUCAUGCCUGUGGACUCCAGCCUGAGCAUAGCGAAACCCGGCUCUAACACAAGAAAAUUAAAUAUUAAUUUAAAAGUAACUGAACCAAGAAUAGUUGCCUCAUGUUUGAAUGCGUAUAAAUAUAAUGCAUUUAACUGUGGUCCCAGCUACUCCGGAGGCUGAGGCACGAGAAUCCUUUGAACCCCG